AUUGAACGCUGGCGGCAUGCCUUACACAUGCAAGUCGAACGGCAGCAUGGGUGCUUGCACCUGAUGGCGAGUGGCGAACGGGUGAGUAAUGCAUCGGAACGUACCCGGAAGUGGGGGAUAACGUAGCGAAAGUUACGCUAAUACCGCAUAUUCUGUGAGCAGGAAAGCGGGGGAUCGCAAGACCUCGCGCUUCCGGAGCGGCCGAUGUCGGAUUAGCUAGUUGGCGGGGUAAAGGCCCACCAAGGCAACGAUCCGUAGCGGGUCUGAGAGGAUGAUCCGCCACACUGGGACUGAGACACGGCCCAGACUCCUACGGGAGGCAGCAGUGGGGAAUAUUGGACAAUGGGGGCGAACCCUGAUCCAGCAAUGCCGCGUGUGUGAAGAAGGCCUGAGGGUUGUAAAGCACUUUCAGUGGGGAGGGAGGGAGUACGUUGGUUAAGUAGCUGAUGUAUUGGACGUUA
rnacentral:rRNA from 1 species